GGGGGAGGGGGGGUGCGGUCUUUCCAUCUCUGUGUUUGGGGAUACAGUCUUUCCAUCUCUGUGUUGGUGGGGGGUGCAGUCUUUCCAUCUCUUUGUCUGGGGUGGGUGUGGUCUUUCCAUCUCUGUGUCCUGUUGUGGGGGGUGUGGUCUUUCCAUCUCUCUGUCUGGGGGGGUGCGGUCUUUCCAUCUCUGUGUCUUGCGGGGGUGGUCUUUCCAUCUCUGUGUCUGGGGGGUGGGUGUGGUCUUUCCAUCUCUGUGUCCUGUGGCAGGGUGCAGUCUUUCCAUCUGUUUGUGUGUGUGUGUGUGUGUGGGGGGGGGGGGGGGGGGGGUGGUCUUUCCAUCGCUGUGUCCUGGGGGGGUAUGGUCUUUCCAUCUCUGUGUCUUGGGGAGUGUGGUCUUUCCAUCUCUGUGUCCAGGUCGGGGGGAGGGGUGGUGCGGCCUUCCUAUCUCUGUGUCCUAAGCGGGGGUGUGGCUGUUCCAUUCUGUGUUUGGUAGGGGGGUGCGACCUUUCCAUCUCUGUGUCCAGGGAGGGGGGUGUGGCCUUUCCAUCUCUAUGUCUUCGGGGUGUGUGGCCUUUCCAUCUCUAUGUCUUGGGGGUGUGUGGCCUUUCCGUCUCUGUGUCUGGGGAGUGCAGUUGUUCCAUCCUGUGCCUUGUCUGAGUCCUCUUGACAGCUGCAACCUGGAAGCCACUUCCAGGUGUGUCGGGAGUUGGUUCCUUCCAGUGGGUUCGUGGUCUUGCUGACUUCAAGAAUGGAACUGCGGAUCUUCGUGAGACAAGAGAUCGUAGAAAUAAAGACGCAAGACAAAGAGAUAAAAGACAGCUGGGCCCGGGGGACCACUACCACCAAGACGCGGAGACCGGUAGCGGCCCAGAAUGCCAGGCUGCACUUUUAUUGGAUAGAAGACAAGGGGGCAGGGUAAAGAGUGUGAGUCAUCUCCAAUGAUAGGUAAGGUCACGUGUGUCACGUGUCCACUGGACAGGGGGCCCUUCGUCAUUUGGCAGCCAAGGCAGAGAGGCAGAGAGAGAGAGGCAGCUUACGCCAUUACUUCUGCAUAUCAGAGACUUUUAGUACUUUCACUAAUUUUGCUACUGCUAUCUAAAGUGCAGAGCCAGGUGUACAGAAUGGAACAUGAAAGCGGACUAGGAGUGUGACCACUGAAGCACAGCAUCACAGGGAGACGGUUAGGCCUCCAGAUGGCUGCGGGCGGGCCUGACUGAUAUCAGGCCUUCCACAAGAGGUGGAGGAGUAGAGUCUUCUCUAAACUCCCCCAGGGAAAGGGAGACUCCCUCUCCCAGUCUGCUAAGUAGCAGGUGCUUUUCCUUUGCACUGACGUUACCACUAGACUACGGUCCGCUUGGCGACGGGCAUCUUCCCAGACGCUGGCGUCACCGCUAGACCAAGGAGCCCUCUGGUGGCCCUGUCCGGGCAUGACAGAAGGCUCACACUCUUGUCUUCUGGUCACUUCUCACUAUGUCCCCUCAGCUCCUAUUUCCGUAUGGCCUGGUUUUUCCUAGGUUAUGAUUGUAGAGUGAGGAUUAUUAUAAUAUUGGAA
rnacentral:lncRNA from 1 species